CACCGGCGUUUCUAUCGACGGUGAAUUGCCGCACCAAUAUUCACGCGACGCACAACGAGGGAGCAACGCGGGCUCGUCUCGACGGCCCAGGUCAUUGGAGAGGAUCACAAACCCACGCUGGACCAUGAGCGCGUGCCACCGCAAGCUGGAGGCCUCACACCAGCGUGACCCCAAGGUGCGCACAGACACCCAGAUCCCUCAUUGUCACUCUGGACACAUUCAAGUAGAACCACCCCCCCC